AUUGAACGCUGGCGGCAGGCCUAACACAUGCAAGUCGAGCGGUAGCACAGAGAGCUUGCUCUCGGGUGACGAGCGGCGGACGGGUGAGUAAUGUCUGAGAAACUGCCUGAUGGAGGGGGAUAACUACUGGAAACGGUAGCUAAUACCGCAUAAUGUCGCAAGACCAAAGUGGGGGACCUUCGGGCCUCAUGCCAUCAGAUGUGCCCAGAUGGGAUUAGCUAGUAGGUGGGGUAACGGCUCACCUAGGCGACGAUCCCUAGCUGGUCUGAGAGGAUGACCAGCCACACUGGAACUGAGACACGGUCCAGACUCCUACGGGAGGCAGCAGUGGGGAAUAUUGCACAAUGGGCGCAAGCCUGAUGCAGCCAUGCCGCGUGUAUGAAGAAGGCCUUCGGGUUGUAAAGUACUUUCAGCGGGGAGGAAGGCGAUAAGGUUAAUAACCUUGUCGAUUGACGUUACCCGCAGAAGAAGCACCGGCUAACUCCGUGCCAGCAGCCGCCGUAA
rnacentral:rRNA from 1 species